rnacentral:lncRNA from 1 species
CCCUAAAAAUUCCCAAAAAAAGUACAUAUCAGAUAUCAGCUAGCAAUUCUGAAUCUAAGAGUUACCAUUAUAAUAUUACUCCUACUAGAGAAUAAUAGUUUGCUAUCUAGAGAAGGUACAUCCAGAAAAAAAAUACUAUUACAAUGCCAUGGAGAAAUUUAUUUUGUUGACCAUGUUUACAUUUUUGUUUUUAAACAACGAAUCUGGGAUGAUGAAAUGUGUAGGUUAUGGGAACUACCCUUAGCCUUAGUAAGGCAAAUAACUCAUAUUUCUCUGUCCUAUUUUGCAUCACCCGCAUCAACUUGCCUAAAGCUCUAGAUGAAGAAGUCCACUGAAACAUUAAAUUUGAGUCUUCAAAGACAUCUUCUAACAAAAUGGUUGGAAAAAUUAGAAAGGGAAUAAAGAUGUAGAUACAAUUAAAAGAACAAAAAAAGAAAGAUGUAGAUACUUUCAAGAUAAGGCACAACCGUAUGAUAAAGAAUUGAUCAUAAACAUUCUAAAAUUCAAAACUUAUCCCAAAAGAAAAAGAAAAAAAAAAAAAAGUGGUGC